GGGCGGGGCGGGUCUCUGUGUCGUGUCCCCGGCUCCGUAGGCGGCGGCGGCGGAGCGGAGCCGCGCGCGCUCAAGCCCGCGGGAGGCACCAUGUCCCCGGGGAGCGGGGUGAAGAGCGAGUACAUGAAGCGCUACCGGGAGCCGCGCUGGGAAGAGUACGGGCCGUGCUACCGGGAGCUGCUGCACUACCGCCUGGGCCGCCGGCUGCUGGAGCAGGCGCACGCGCCCUGGCUCUGGGACGACUGGGGCCCGGCCGGCGCCUCGGACGACUCGGCGUCGUCGGCGUCGUCGGGCGCCGGGGGCCCCGCGCCCCAGUUCGCCCCCGCCUCGCCGCCGCCGCCGCCCGCGGAACCCGCGGCGCGGGAGGGGCCGGAACGGCGGGCGCGCGGGCCGGCGGAGGAGCAGGGCGCGGAGGCGCCGGAGGCCGGGGAGCCCCGGGACGCGGCGAGCGCGGAGGAGGCGGCGGACGGGGCUCUGCCAGCACUGCCAGUGAAAGACAUAAAAGAAAAACCUGAACAACAGGUCAGAGCAAAAGAGACUGACAAGUUACCUAGCAGUACUGAACCUCGACAGCAACCAAGUGCCUUAUUUGCUAGAGGAAAUAGGAAAGCAGCCAAAAGUCCUCAAAGAUCAUCAACUAAAAUAAAGGAGAAGAAGCAUCCGUUUGCUCUUUAUGGGUGGGGAGAAAAACAGACCGAUACAGGAAGCCAAAAAACUCACAACGUCUGCGCGUCUGCCCCCGUGCAUGAGAUUCAUGAAUCAGCAUUACGAGCCAAGAACAGAAGACAGGUGGAAAAAAGGAAACUGGUCACUCAGAGGCAGCGCGCUCACUCUGUAGACGUGGAGAAAAACCGAAAGAUAAAGCCUUCCUCCUCGGAGAACCCAUGGAUGACAGAGUACAUGAGAUGCUAUUCGGCAAGAGCUUAAAGGCCGAAACAGUUGCUGGGACAGCCUCUUCAAAAGAGUGUAAAUGAAAAAAAAAGAAGAAACAAAACAAAAGAAAACAGACGUAGAUUUAAGAAACCAGCUGAUUAUGCAAGGUUUUCCGUAGGGAAUGUCCAAAAGAUUGCUCUAUUUCAGUGAACCCUGGUCACCUACCUCAGCAGUAGGGCGACAGUUGAAGCCAUAGAUAUUUGGUUAUUUAUGAAGCUCAGUCCCUAAUAUUUGAUAUUCUUAUAAGGGUUUUUGUUUUAAAGCAUCUUAAUCUUUUCAGAUACCGCCACCGAAUGCCUUUAAAUGGCUAUUGAUGCUUAACAUUCAGUAUUCUCUGUCAGUGUAGCCGGAGCCUGUUUUCAUCCUGUCCUGAGUAACUUUCCAGAUUCCAUAGUGAGGAAGAUCAUUCCGACCUGUAGCUUAAGACUCAUUUUCCUUACGCGUGGUUUUCUGCCUGAAAGAACGGCUCAUCGAAAGGGAGUUUCGACACUAACAUCGAUUCCUUGUGUAGUGACGCCAGAACCCCCGCAGUUCCUGAAAAAGUAAACUUACUCGUCUUUCAAUUAUGGCACCACUUUACACAGACCGUGAUAUUUAAGAAUUAUCUGGGCUGGAACUCAUUCCUAACAAAGCCUUGACGAUGUACGUUGUUCAGACUUCCGCUGAAAUGCAUUUCUCCCGGAUUCCUAGCCAGUGGAAUGAGACGAUGGUGGUGUUUGUCUAGGCACGGAUGUUGAGCAUGUAAAGAAAGCGCUCCUUCCCUGGUACAUUUCCUUUGGGGUAGAACAAAACGGUUUUAAGGAAUGCUGGUUUCCACCCAGCCGAUACAGGAAUCUACAGGAAGGAAGCGUGCCGAAUUCUCUGGAAGAGGGAAAAAAGGUCCUUUGCCUGGGCCAGGUUAGCACCUGUAGAUGGGUGAAUAAAAUUUGCUAUUAGGUGUGAGGUUGAA